UAUCUGCGAAGGCUGACUGUGCGCUUGCACUUAGAUACUUGUGCCUUAUGCUCGUUUGGACGAGGGUUUCGUGGAAGCACGUGGGAGCAGGAUUGGUCACUGGCGGACCCCCAAAGGUCCCCUUGGGAUGGCCCGGCGCGUGUUCGGGGUCGGGAAGAGAGAAUAUGAGCGUGUGUGAAUGUUCCUCCUAGGGAGGAGAAGGAGAGUUGCGUCAAGAUUUGGUUUUCCUGGAUUUGCUGCAAUUCCUUAAAUCAAACCAGGUUUUCGGGGCAUUAAAGUAAAUUGCCGGUGGCAGUGUAGAAGCCAAAACCCAGAAACAGUUUCUGAAAAAUAAGAGUGACUAUACAUGAGUAAGCAAGCACAGGAAUCUGAAAAACCACAGAUCAAGAUGUGGACCAUUUCCAGUAUUCCAGAAGAUUUCUUCCUCUUGUGACUUCUGGUCACUUUUCAUCCCACUUCUAAAGUAAAGCACCCCAACCAGCAUAUGCCUGCAUAUGUGCCUACUACUGCCUUUACUGGGACAUGGAAGGCUCAAUCAGGAUAAAGCCUCACAGGCUGACUCUUACUGCAUCGUGUGUACAGACCACAUUUGCUCUAUCCAUUCAUCUGGGAAGGUCGUGUUUUGUUUUGUUUUGUUUGCCAAGUGUUCGUAUGAAAACUUCCCUUGGGAGCUGAAGCAACCAAACCACAGAGAACAUAGAUAAAUCAAAUCUGAGUCAUACACACUAAGAGAUGGACAAACUGAGUCCUGAAAGGUUAUAAUAUCCUUGAAGUUACACUAAAACUAAAAUAGCACAUGGCUCAUCUAGGAGGUAAAAAUGAGAACAUCUUUGACUUGAUUGGCGCCCUCUUGAAGAGAAAUGCUUUUGCUCAGCUUGGACUGAAAUGCAGAUAAUUCUUUAGAAAGCUUGUGUAGGAAAAGUGCAUCGUGUGAUCUGGAACAAAGACAUUUUAUAAUCAGAUUUAUCAAGCUGUGAAGAGGGGGUUUUAGCAAACGGAAGCAGCAGCAUUCUGUCACCAGGAAAUACAGCUUUAUCCAGAAUUGGUAAGUAAAAAGUGGCAUUGCUCCCUAAUAGAUAUCAUAUGGUGUGCGUGGGAAUUAUAAAAUUGUUCACAGACCCCUAACAACUAUGUUGAACCAGAGAACACAUAAACAGAGUAAGGAAUCUUGAAAAGGAGCACUCCAAAAAUCUAGCUCAAAGGCUGAGAAAAGAAGCCAGGUAAUUAACGAAGAUGAGCUGAUGAGCUGAUUAUAACUACUUUAACCAAAUAUAUGUGAUACAACUAGCUCGGCUUUCCUCUCUUUUUCAUUUUAGGUGCUUGGGGUGGCGGGGCAAAAAAAAUCAAAUAGGUUGUUUAGUACAGUUGCAACAUUAGCUUUCCAUGGAUAGAAAUUUCCAUUUAGUCUUAAUAGUGUAUAUGAUAU